GACGAACGCUGGCGGCGUGCUUAACACAUGCAAGUCGAACGGAAAGGCCUCUUUCGGGGGGUACUCGAGUGGCGAACGGGUGAGUAACACGUGAGUAACCUGCCCUUGACUUUGGGAUAACUUCAGGAAACUGGGGCUAAUACCGGAUAGGAGCUCCUGCUGCAUGGUGGGGGUUGGAAAGUUUCGGCGGUUGGGGAUGGACUCGCGGCUUAUCAGCUUGUUGGUGGGGUAGUGGCUUACCAAGGCUUUGACGGGUAGCCGGCCUGAGAGGGUGACCGGCCACAUUGGGACUGAGAUACGGCCCAGACUCCUACGGGAGGCAGCAGUGGGGAAUAUUGCACAAUGGGUGGAAGCCUGAUGCAGCAACGCCGUGUGCAGGAUGACGGCCUUCGGGUUGUAAACCGCUUUCGCUCAUGACGAAGCUUUGUGUGACGGUAGUGGGUAAAGAAGCACCGGCUAACUACGUG
rnacentral:rRNA from 1 species